rnacentral:lncRNA from 1 species
AUACAUUAGCUUGGGGUUGGAAGAAGAUUAGGACAUCCACUCUCUUCCACCGAAAAGCCGACGAGGUCGAAACAGAAGAAGGAAGGCAAAGAUCCAAUUCCACAAGCCAAAAAGUCAAGUCCGGAAAAGUCGACGGAGUAGAAAAUGAGGAAGGAAGGCAAAGAUCCAAUUCUACAAGCCAAAAACUCAACUCGAGAAGAAGAAUGUCUGUAUAAUAGAAAUUGGAAGCAACAUAUCAAACUAGCAGAAAAUGCAGAAUGAUUGAACGACCAGAUUCUUUAUAGUUAGUUAUUGUAUGAUGUCUAAUGGCUAUAUCUUCUUUUUCAGGUGAAUAAUAUGACCAGUAAGAAUCCUUGCAGGUAUGAAUAUGUUCAAUGUUAAGCAGUAAUCAACUCAUGCUGAUAGUUUAGUUUUGUACAAGUGAUGUAUACUAGGUUUAUGGUGACUGGGGGAUGCUACACAGUUCUAAAUCUGAGUUGGUACGAUGCUACUCAUCCGUAAAUGAAACAACAAUUAGCUGUAUAAUGAGAAAGAACCCAACUUCAACAGGAGGUGAAAUGCAGAAACAAACACCAGCAACAGCUCAAGCUAAUCUAGUAGACCAAUUGAAAUUCAAAUUUGUCUUCUUCACAGUAACCAAGUACCAUGGAGAUGAACAUUCAACAAUGAACACCUAAGUUUAUAGGGCGUCAAAUAGUAACUCUCCUAUCAAGAAGUACGGAAAACCAUGAACAGGAAGGAAAUAUCAGCAAACUACAGGUUGCAGCAAAACGAUUUUCCCUCCCCAUCAAUUGAUUCAAUCAAUAAACUUCAAGUUACAACAAAACAAAGCAGCAGCAAAACCAACAUAAUUCAAUACUAAAACGAAGAGAGAGAGGAGAAGAAAGAAAAAACUAACCUUCCAUCCAACCAACGUCAAUGGAGAUGGCAACUAACCUUCAAGGCGCCGACUUUCUCCUUCAAGGCGUUGACUUCUUCUCUCAUUUUCGACAUUUGUGACUGGGAUUCGUUAUUAUUGAGAAAAAUGCGGC